AAUCCCGCAUCGGGAGAGACUGUCAGCAGCAGCUGACAGCGCCGAAGGAGCAACCGCCCCGGAAACUCUCAGGCAAAAGGACCGAUGCAGGCUG
rnacentral:ncRNA from 2 species